rnacentral:rRNA from 1 species
CCUACGGGAGGCAGCAGUGGGGAAUUUUGGACAAUGGGGGCAACCCUGAUCCAGCCAUGCCGCGUGUGUGAAGAAGGUCAUAAGAUUGUAAAGCACUUUAAGCAGGGAGGAAGAGCCAGUGGAGAAACACACUGGUGGUGACGUUACCUGCAGAAUAAGCACCGGCUAACUCUGUGCCAGCAGCCGCGGUAAU